CAAGUCGAACGCGAAAGUCCCCUUCGGGGGAUAAGUAGAGUGGCGUCCGGGUGAGUAACACGUAGGUAAUCUACCUUCGGGUGGGGAAUAACCCAGGGAAACUUGGGCUAAUACCGCAUAAUGCAGCGGCACCACAUGGUGACAGUUGUUAAAGCGGGGGAUCUUCGGAUCUCGCGCCUGGAGAGGAGCCUGCGGCAGAUUAGCUAGUUGGUAAGGUAACGGCUCACCAAGGCGACGAUCUGUAGCCGGCCUGAGAGGGCGGUCGGCCACACUGACACUGACAUACGGGUCAGACUCCUACGGGAGGCAGCAGUCGGGAAUUUUGGGCAAUGGGCGAAAGCCUGACCCAGCAACGCCGCGUGAAGGAUGAAAUCCCUCGGGAUGUAAACUUCGCAAGAAUGGGAAGAAUUAGUAGGGGUUAAUACCCUCUAUGAUGACGGUACCAUUUGUAAGCUCCGGCUAACUCCGUGCCAGCAGCCGCGGUAAUACGGGGGGAGCAAGCGUUGUUCGGAUUUACUGGGCGUAAAGGGCGCGUAGGCGGUCAGCACAAGUCAGUUGUGAAAUCUCCGGGCUUAACUCGGAAAGGUCAACUGAUACUGUGCGACUAGAGUGCGGAAGGGGCAACUGGAAUUCUCGGUGUAGCGGUGAAAUGCGUAGAUAUCGAGAGGAACACCUGCGGCGAAGGCGGGUUGCUGGGCCGACACUGACGCUGAUGCGCGAAAGCCAGGGGAGCGAACGGGAUUAGAUACCCCGGUAGUCCUGGCCUUAAACGAUGGAUGCUUGGUGUCUGGAGUUUUAUA
rnacentral:rRNA from 1 species